rnacentral:rRNA from 1 species
CCCUUAGAUGUUCUGGGCUGCACACGCGCUACACUGAAGGGAUCAGCGUGUUCUUUUCCUGGUCCGAAAGGAUCGGGUAACCCGCUGAACCCCCUUCGUGGUAGGGAUCGGAGCUUGCAAUUAUUCUCCGUGAACCAGGAAUUCCCAGUAAGCGCAAGUCAUAAGCUUACGUUGAUUACGUCCCUGCCCUUUGUACACACCGCCCGUCGCUACUACCGAUUGGACGUUUUAGUGAGGAUUUUGGACUGAGCCAAUGGUGGUUCACACCACUGUUGUGCAUGGAAAGAUCUCCAAACUUGAGCGUUUAGAGGAAGUAAAAGUCGUAACA